rnacentral:tRNA from 1 species
CGGGAUGUAGCGCAGUUUGGCUAGCGCACCUGAAUGGGGUUCAGGGGGUCGGAGGUUCAAAUCCUCUCAUCCCGACCA